AAAUGCAUCGAGCGAUUGGAUGAAGAGCUGGCCUUAUGGCUGUCGCGGGGGAGAGGGGAGAAACAUGUGGGGAACCUGGCCUGAUGGGGGGGAAUAAUCCGGGAAAACGGGGCUUAUUCCGGAUAACAUUUUGAACAGCAAGGAUGGGGAUUUACGGGCCGCUUGGGCUGUCAUUUGCGGAUGGGCCCGCGUCUUGUUAGCGGGGUGGUGAGGUAACGGCUCACCGAGGCCACGAUGCGUAGACAACAUGAGAGGGUGAUCGGCCACUGUGGGACUGAUGCACGGCCCACACUCCUACGGGAGGCAGCAUUGGGGAAUCUUCCGAAUGGACGAAAGUCUGACGGAGCGACGCCGCGUGAGUGAUGAAGGUUUUCGGGGCUUUCACUCUGUUGUUAGGGAAGAACAAGUGCUAGUUGAAUAAGCUGGCCUCUUGGCGGUCCCUAACCAGAAAGCCACGGCUAACUACGUGCCAGCAGCCGCGGUAAUACGUAGGUGGCAAGCGUUCUCCGGAUUUAUUGGGCGUAAGGGGCGCGCAGGUGGUUUCUUAAGUCUGAUGUGAAAGCCCACGGCUCCAACCCGGGAGGGUCUUUGGAAACUGGGAGACUUGAGUGCUGAUAAGAGGAAAGUGGAAUUUCCGUGUGUAGCGGUGAAAUGCGUAGAGAUAUGGAGGAACACCAGUGGCGAAGGGGACUUUCUGGUCUGUUAACUGACCUGAGGCGCGAAAGCGUGGGGAGCAAACAAGAUUAGAUACCCUGGUAGCUCCACGCCGUAAACUAUGAGUGCUAAGUGUUAAAGGGUUUCCGCCCUUUAGUGCUGAAGUUAACGCAUUAAGCACUCCGCCUGGGGAGUAGGGCCGCAAGGUCUGAAACUCAAAAGGAAUUGACGGGGGCCCGCACAACGCGGUGGAGCAUGUGGUUUUAUUCGAAGCAACGCAAAAACCCUUACCAGGUUCUUGACAUCCUCUGAACACCCUAGAGAUCGGGCUUCUCCUUCGUGAACAGAGUGACAGGGUGGUGCAUGGGUUGUCGUCAGCUCGUGUCGUGAAGAUGUAUGUGUUAAAGUCCUCGCAAACGAGCGCCACCCCUUUAUCUUUUUGCUAUCAUCAUUUGUUAGGCACUUUACGUGACUGCCGGUGACAACCCGGAAACGGUGGGGGAUGACGUCAAAUCAUCAUGCCCCUUAUGACCCGGGCUACCCACGUUCCACAAGGGGAGGUACAAAAAGGAGCAAGCCCGCGAGGUGCAGCCAAUCUCCUAAAACCGUUUUCACUUCGGAAUGCAGGUUGCAACUUGCCUUCCUGAAGCUGGAAUCGCUAGUAAUCGCGGAUCAGCAUGCCGCGGUGAAUACGUUCCCGGGCCUUGUACACACCGCCCGUCACACCACGAGAGUUUGUAACACCCGAAGUCGGUGAGGUAACCUUUGGACCACCGCCAG
rnacentral:rRNA from 1 species